GACGAACGCUGGCGGCGUGCCUAAUACAUGCAAGUUGAGCGCUGAAGGUUGGUACUUGUACCGACUGGAUGAGCAGCGAACGGGUGAGUAACGCGUGGGGAAUCUGCCUUUGAGCGGGGGACAACAUUUGGAAACGAAUGCUAAUACCGCAUAAAAACUUUAAACACAAGUUUUAAGUUUGAAAGAUGCAAUUGCAUCACUCAAAGAUGAUCCCGCGUUGUAUUAGCUAGUUGGUGAGGUAAAGGCUCACCAAGGCGAUGAUACAUAGCCGACCUGAGAGGGUGAUCGGCCACAUUGGGACUGAGACACGGCCCAAACUCCUACGGGAGGCAGCAGUAGGGAAUCUUCGGCAAUGGACGAAAGUCUGACCGAGCAACGCCGCGUGAGUGAAGAAGGUUUUCGGAUCGUAAAACUCUGUUGGUAGAGAAGAACGUUGGUGAGAGUGGAAAGCUCAUCAAGUGACGGUAACUACCCAAAAAGGGACGGCUAACUACGUG
rnacentral:rRNA from 1 species